UUAUGGCUCAGAACGAACGCUGGCGGCGCGUCUUAAGCAUGCAAGUCGAACGGCAAGAGGUAGCAAUACCUCCUAGAGUGGCGGACUGGUGAGUAACACGUGGGUGACAUACCCUUCAGAUGGGGAUAGCUAUUAGAAAUAGUAGAUAAUACCGAAUACGAGCACAGGGGUUAGAGAUCUGUGAGGAAAGGAGCUAAGGCUCCGCUGAAGGAAUGGCCUGCGGCCCAUUAGCUAGUUGGUGAGGUAAGAGCCCACCAAGGCGAUGAUGGGUAUCCGGCCUUAGAGGGUGAACGGACACAUUGGGACUGAGAUACGGCCCAGACUCCUACGGGAGGCAGCAGCUAAGAAUAUUCCGCAAUGGACGAAAGUCUGACGGAGCGACGCCGCGUGGAUGAAGAAGGCCGGAAGGUUGUAAAAUCCUUUUGAAACUGAAGAAUAAGCGUUGUAGGGAAUGACAGCGUGGUGACAGUAGGUUUUGAAUAAGCAACGGCUAAUUACGUGCCAGCCGCCGC
rnacentral:rRNA from 1 species